ensembl:antisense A730035I17Rik RIKEN cDNA A730035I17 gene
UGCUGCUGUUGCUCUUUACCACUACCGCCACCGCCGUGGUCCUUAGUGCCCAAGCCGCCCCCUUGCUCGUCUUGGGGAUUCGCAUCAGUGCUGUGAAGUCUCUUGGGGCAGCGGAAUCGCAGAUGUGCCACAUAGGGGAACUCAAACUGGAAACGUUGGCUGCAUUCCAGUUCCAUUCGGGACAACACCUCAGAAGCUUCGUCCACCCUAUGAUGUGCCCAAGAUAAGCAAGGUGAGCCCAGGCACCCGAGCCAACCUACCGUUCAUUUUGUGAGCUCUAGAAGGGCAGAGCAAGAGCAACUCAGUCAGUUCUUUCCCGUACCAAACUAGUAACUCUUCAUCUUUGGCAAUCCUGCGGAGAGAGCGGUAGAACAGCUGUCCGUUUUUUAUAUAAGCUUCGAGAUUCUGUUCUUCCUUAUCUCGGGCUGAUUGGACCAGCCGCAGCCACAUGAGACCUUCUGAGGAACCAUUUGCCGCCGAAGUGUCUACCUACAGUAUUUAAG